rnacentral:hammerhead_ribozyme from 1 species
AUCCAGGACGCUGACGAAUACCAAAUAGAACGAAACGCGCGUCCUGGAU